rnacentral:tRNA from 1 species
GGGGAUGUAGCUCAGUGGUAGAGCAUUCGACUGCAGAUCGAGAGGUUUCGAUUCAUAUCCGGGUGUCCCCU